AUGCUCGCCGACUUCGACUUCCCGCCCUUCGACGACGUCGAGCCCGUGCACGUCCGUCUCGGGAUCUGUGCGCUCCUCGCCUACCUCGAGGGCAAGCUGGAGGAGCUCGAGAAGGGCGUGGAGCCGGCGUGGGAGUGCUUGGUCCACCCGCUCAAGCGCAUCAUCGACAGGCUUGACAUCGUCUGCAAUGUUGUUGACCACAUCAAGGUCGUCAAGGACUCGCCGGACCUCCACGCCACCGUCGAGGACGUCCAGCCCUGGAUGCAAAUGGACGUCAUGAUUCUGUUAUGCGCCGAGGUAACUACAGGAUAUCCUUACUCGUACAAAAUGCCCAGUUGUUGUUCUUGUAAAUAUAGGUGUGCCUACCAUCGCCCCAUCGGCACCAUCACCAAACAGAAAAGGGCUCUAGCCACUUCUUAUGACAAGAAAAAUAGGCGUCGUUACCUGUUUGCAUCUGAGAUUGCAUAA
rnacentral:rRNA from 1 species